rnacentral:rRNA from 1 species
AUUGAACGCUGGCGGCAGGCCUAACACAUGCAAGUCGAACGCAGUGGGGACGGGUGAGUAACACGUGGGUAACCUCCCAUCAGAGGGGAAAACACUUGGAAACAGGUGCUAAAACGAUACUGAUGGAUGCACCCGCGGUGCAUUAGCUAGUUGGUGAGGUAACGGCUCACCAAGGCCACGAUGCAUCGCCGUCCAGAGAGAGAUAUGGUGUACACUGGGACUGAGUCACGGCCCAUACGCCAACGUGAGACAGCAGUAGGGAAUCUUCGGCAAUGGACGAAAGUCUGACCGAGCAACUCCGCUUGAGUGAAGAAUGUUUUCGGAUCGUAAAACUAAGUUGUUAGAGAAGCGGUAUCUAACCAGAAAGCCACUGCUAACUACGUGCCAGCAGCCGCGGUAAUAC